UACGAAGGGGGCUAGCGUUGUUCGGAAUUACUGGGCGUAAAGCGCACGUAGGCGGAUCUUUAAGUCAGAGGUGAAAUCCCAAGGCUCAACCUUGGAACUGCCUUUGAUACUGGGGAUCUUGAGUCCGGGAGAGGUGAGUGGAACUGCGAGUGUAGAGGUGAAAUUCGUAGAUAUUCGACAAGAACACCAGUGGCGAAGGCGGCUCACUGGCCCGGUACUGACGCUGAGGCACGAAAGCGUGGGGAGCAAACAGG
rnacentral:rRNA from 1 species